AAUAAACAUAGUUUUAUAUUUUUCAUAUCCAAUGUUUGACCGUCCGUCUUAUUUAAAUAUUUUUUAAUUUAUAUUUUUAUUUUUAUUAGAUGAUAAAACAUAAAUAGUAUUUUAUAUAUGACUAAUUAGUUUUAACUUUUUUUUAUAAUUUUUUUAAAUAAGGUGGACGUUUAAAUAUUGAACACGGAUUUAUGGCUGGACUUAGG
rfam:Oryza meridionalis cultivar OR44 (W2112) chromosome 4, whole genome shotgun sequence.